GCGGACGGGUGAGUAAUGUCUGGGAAACUGCCUGAUGGGAGGGGAUAACUACUGGAAACGGUAGCUAAUACCGCAUAACGUCGCAAGACCAAAGAGGGGGACCUUCGGGCCUCUUGCCAUCGGAUGUGCCCAGAUGGGAUUAGCUUGUUGGUGGGGUAACGGCUCACCAAGGCGACGAUCCCUAGCUGGUCUGAGAGGAUGACCAGCCACACUGGAACUGAGACACGGUCCAGACUCCUACGGGAGGCAGCAUG
rnacentral:rRNA from 1 species